UUCCGACAGAAAAACAAUAAACCAUAUAUAAGAUUUUCUUAGUAGUACUAACACAUUAACAUAAUCGUAAUAAUUUCCUCCAGGCCACCCAGUGAUACCAAGCUUCAUUAGCUCUUCCACAACUUCAUUUUUAAAAUUUAUUAAGAACAUCCACUACCUUGAAACGGAUUUUAGAAAUUAUUUAGUUUAAGUUUAUAACGUCAUCAUUUACAUGAAAAGACAAGGAUCGUGAUGCAAACAAAUUACUGAGUUAUACUUGAAAAUAAAAAGGGAACGGUAGUGCUCAACGUAUUACACGUUAAAACCACUAAGUUUCUAAGAACAAAUUAUUUAUAAGAGCAAAUAAUACACCAAACGAGAAUUUUUAAAGUUAACUACGAAGAAACACUGAAGGCUAAGAGUCCGGCAUCACUCAGGCGCCAUUUCCGAUAGCACUCACCUAACCAUUACCAAGUCGCCGCGCGGCCGGGCAGCAUGACAGCCUUCCACAGGAUUACCGCAUGUGAAUAAACAUACUGUCCUAAUUUAAAUCUUAAUUUGGCCAUCUUAUUAAGUUUCUGAACUCUUCCUGAGACUCCUGUAAAACCUCUUGGUUCUGCGGAUUUCCAACAACUUUUCGGUACUAAUCUAUCCUCAAUUAGUGAUACCGCAGCUCCUGUAUCGAUAAAAACGGGGAUUUCUUUUCCGAACAUUUUUGUCUUCUGACUUAAAAUACCGUCAUUUUGUAAAAGAGACAUUUGGUUAACAAGGGACGAGUUGUCACCCCGACCGACUCUCGCCCUAUUUAGUUUCCCUGUUGUGACGUUUUGCAAUCUCGUAUCAAGUGACCUGGUCGUUUGCAUUUUAAACAAAUCGGCCUACCAUCUGAGGUCCACUGUGGUCUGUCAGUUAUUUUUGGAAAUGAAUUACUUGGGGUCUGCCUGAAAAAAUUGUUGUUCUGAUUUCGGUGGUAUUGUGUUAGUGUACUGUUAUUUUUGUAAUUUCCUCCCUGAGUUCUAAACUGUGACUUUGGUUGUGCCUGUAAUCUCAUUUAGCAUAUUGGUCCAAUAAUAACGACGUAUAAUUUUGUCUGCGGUGCGAACUACUCCUAAGUGACCGCCAAAAGUGGGAUUGUCGUGACUUUCCCUCAGAAUUUCAGCCUUUAAGCGGGUUGAAAUUUUGCAGGGUUGUUGAAAUCAAAUUUAGGGACUUUACUGACGGGACUCUGGGCUGGCUGCUCUGUUCACUCGUCAGCGCAAGUGGCGUGACCAUGUAAUUGGGGCACGGGGCCGGCGCGGCGCGCUGCGGGCUUGCAGAAUUUUGUUUGUUUGUUUGGCCGCGCGCUGGCGCAGCCACGGGCCGCAGUUACUGGGGCGCGCUGUCGUAACAAGCCGCGCGGUGUGGCCUGCACAUUGGGGUAGAGGGGGGGUAGUCUUCCCAGAUGUUCUAGUUAGUUGUUUAGUAAAUUUGACUUCAAUAACGAGCUUUUGUUAUGGUAGGCGCGGCAGGGCGCGCGAAUUUAAGCGCAAGUGAGUGGUGACUCGGGGCUCACUCAGGCGGAGGCUAUGCGUCUCACCUGUGGUCACGAGUUGUUAGUUCGUUCGUGAUGUAGGAAUUCAAGCUUUCGGGCGGAAGCUAUGGUCGACGCCAGAGGCCACGAGUCGUUUAAUUUAAGUUAGGUCAUAAUGUAGUCGUCAAGCUCACUCAGGCGGAGGCUAUGCGUCUCACCUGUGGUCACGAGUUGUUAGUUCGUUCGUGAUGUAGGAAUUCAAGCUUUCGGGCGGAAGCUAUGGUCGACGCCAGAGGCCACGAGUCGUUUAAUUUAAGUUAGGUCAUAAUGUAGUCGUCAAGCUCACUCAGGCGGAGGCUAUGCGUCUCACCUGUGGUCACGAGUUGUUAGUUCGUUCGUGAUGUAGGAAUUCAGGCUCACUCAGGCGGAGACUAUGCGUCUCACCUGUGGCCACGAGUUGUUUAGUUAGUUCGUUCGUGAUGUAGUUUAAGUUAGGUCAUAAUGUAGUCGUCAAGCUUUCGGGCGGAGGCUAUGGCCCUCGUCAGGGGUCACGCGUCAUAGUUUUUAAAAUGUAAUGUUCGUUCGGGAUUUCAAGGGCAGGAGAGGCCCCUACGUUAUUUUUUUUAAAGUAAUCGAUCAAGAAAGGCUUUUCGGAAAAUGUGAGUAUGGACUUAUCUUUGUUUUAAUUUUAAGUAUUAAUUAUGAUUUGAGGUAUUCGGAAGGACUAGGGAAGUGUUUAGUGAAGUUCUCUCAUUCUCUCUCUUGUAAGGUCGUUCAAUCGUUAAGGAAGUAAAGAGAUUAUUGUUUUAAAUUGUAAUCCCGCUAUUCAAAUGUUCUUUAAAAUGAUGUUGAGUAUUUGACUUUAAGAAUAAAAUAAUUUUAAUUAAGUAUUAUGUUAUUUUGCAAAAUCUCCUUAGUUCAGCUCUCACCAGACAUCCUGUACGGGAUGACGAACCUAUGAUCCUAGGUACAGUAAAGUAUUUUAUGAAGUUAAGACUAGUUGAUGCCAAGCGAGUUGUUUCUAUGUAAAGAGCUACGAUUCUCUCCCCCCUCUGAAGGUGGCUCGUGACAGAAAUGGCGGUGGCACCGGCUAGGUGCACGUUACAAGAAAUGGUAGAGUUCGCCGGAUAGGUUCUAUUUCUGGAGAGAGAGAGAGGUAGAUUUUUAUGUUUAUUAUUAAGUUAGUUUCAGCUUCUGAUAGCAGGUUAUUAAGAGUUUACUUGAGGAGAGGAUUACGGAAUUUAAUCUAAGUGGAGGAAGUCUUUGAGAUUUUUUUUUUGACGUAACAGAUGAUUAUUUGAGUAUACUUGUAAGGAUAAAGUUUAUAGUGAUAAGUUGUUUUAAGUCGUUGAAUUUAUUGUAGAUUUAUAUCGGGGAUUAUUACGUGAGGAGAAUACGUUAUAAGUUAAAUGCUUAUUAGAGAUAAUGCAAGUGGUUUAAUUUAAUUGAAGUUCAUUUUAAGAUUGUAGGUUAAGAGAAUUAUAAUUUAAAAUAAAGUUUUUUGUCGUAAAUAGGAAUUAUUUUCAAGAGAAGUUUGUUUUGUUUUCGUGCGCGUAGGAGACGAGACGUACGAAUUAAAUCAGUCGAGGGAAGGAUAAACGUUAGAAAGGAAUUAAAGAGAAAACGAGAGUUUAUGUAAAAGAGAGUUAUAGAAUUUAUAGUGAUGUUUUGUUUUAAUUAGAAAAAUGUUGAGAGUUGUUUCAGAACGACACGUCAGUGGACGUGGCAGAGUGAACACGUGACGGGGAGGUGCUGAGACCUAGCGGAGAACGGAGGAACCGCAAGCGAGGGUUGGCGCACCUGAUGGAAUUCGGUGACGUCACGGGCUCAUACGGAGACGUGGACAGGCCGUGACCUUGUUUUGAUCAGCUGUACGGUAACUUAGCGAUAAGAAAAUAGACUAUUGGUUAAAUAAAUUUAAAUUUAAGUGUGUUUUAGGAGAAGAGGAACUUUCAGUAUAUUCCUUAAGAUGAGCUGAGCAGCAGUCCAGUUUACAAGAUGACAAGAGUUCGAGAGACAAGAUACAAGAUCACUGAAACAAGAGCCAAGACUGAAGAUUCAAGAGAAGAGAAAGCUGGCAGCCAUGGACUUACAAGUGGAGAUUAAUAAGGUCAUGUAAAGUUUUAUUUUUUUUUAUGGAAGACAGUAACUGGAGUUUUUUUUUGUUAUAAACAUUAUUUACAGAACUUUUUAGGUUAUAGUAAUGUAAUGGAACUAGUGAGUUGUGGUAGCUGUCAAAAAGAACUAAUACCUUAAGUUUAAUUUUUAAAGUUAAUUUUCUUAAUUUACAGAGGGAUUAGUAGUUUUUUUAAACCUUAUUUAGGUUGGAAUUUAAAUACAAUAGCUUAUUAUAAAUGUGUACGAACAGUUCAAGUUCACAGUACUGAUAGGUAGGUCAGAUGAUCUUAUUGAUUUUGAUGAUUUGUUGUUUUGAGUUGAUUUUUAGGUGUUGUGAAUUAGACAAUGAAAUAGUUCUGAAAACUUAAAUUAUUUCAAGCUAAGAAAUAGUAAAGUUAAUUGUAACUCAAAGGACACCAGAAUUUAAUUUUUUUUUGAAUUAGUAAUGUUUGAAAAUUUUAUACUUUACAAGAAAGGUUAUAAACAAACAGAUCGGAUGGAACAAGGAUGCAGUAAAUCACAAUUUCAUUUAGAAUUAUUGAUUAGCUUUUGAGGUUAUGAAGUAAAAGUAAUUAUAGUUUAAAAGUUUGAAUAAAAAAAAAUGUUUUUUUUUUAUUUGUUUGAAAUAGAAAGUUUAAAAGUUAAUUAGUCAUGAUCUAGGUGGGUGAUGGGGUGGGAAUUGGCCACUCUUUUUCCCUAUAACCUCCCUAACAUGGCCUUCUAUUACAACUAACAGAAAUAAAGAAGAAGAAAAAUGAAGAAUUAUUAGUUAGAAUGUUUCUUUCAUGAAGAUACCUGAUGAACUUUUACUGUUUGGAAGAAUAGAAGCAAGGUUAGUCAGAUAUUUUUACUCAGAAGAAGAAGAAGAUAAAGCAGUUUUAUGACUCGACAAGCCAGAGAUUGGUGUUUCCCCUCUGCGCUUCUAUUGACUACGUUGUUUACUCUCAUGGGAUAGCUGGUUCGGCACCAUGGAGAGAGAUUGGUGGGCAUUGUGGUUGCCCCCAGAAGAAAAGAAGAGUAGAAGAGGUUAUGGGUGGGUCAUGUGAACUGACCUUCAACCCAGUUACUUCGUGGGGACUAUUUGCUGUAUAGAGAAGAUCAAGACUCAAGAGUUAGGGAAAAUCAUUGGAGGUCAUGUUUCCCUUCCUUAAGUUUUUCCUAUCAAAUUAUUUGCCUGAUUAGAUUAUGCUAAGGGUGGGAUACUUUAUGUUAGCAGUUGAAUUAAUUAAUUAUAUUUUUUUGUGUGUUUGCAUCCUUGCCCAUCGAUUGCAGUUUAGUAGUUAGUUUUGUAUUUGUCAGGCGUGAUGGUAAUGCCUGUUGAUGAUGUUUCAGAAUUGUAAUCUGUUCGUGAUGAGGAUGGCACAACUCCGAAGCAGAUGUGGGGAGAAGUUGUGAGCUGCCCUGGAAGCCAGUCCAGUAGCUGUUGGAGUUGAGUGGUGUUUGCUGAUGGCCAGCCCAGGGAGCUACUCUUCUCGACAACACUGACUUCGAGGAGUUGCACCAACCUUCACGAGAUAAGAGUUUAAUUAAUUGAAACACUGUAAGGACACUUAAUUUUUUUUGAAGAACGAAAGAAGUAUGGUAAUAAACGGAAACCGAAAAAAAAAAAAUAAUAAUAAUUAUCAAGAAUUUGCACAUUGUUUAACGAAUACUGAGAAACUAAGAACAGUAAUUUAAUUUGUAAAGAGAGCUUCACUAACAGAACAAUUUUUUUAGAAUUGAGAACUCGAGCCUCUGAAGGUUCCUGUGAGAACAAACCAGAUAAAAGUUUUACAUUUAAUUUUAUGAAUACUUGUUGUUUUAAAAUAAAUCUUAUGCAGAAUCUAGAUGUAUGUUCAGACAGCAAGGAACUAAGAAAAUUAUUAUUUUUGUGAAAUGAGGAAUUUAUAGUUAUGGUUUAAUGGAAAAAGACAAUUUGUAAUUUUGAGGUAGCUCGAUGGGGCUCGAGCUCUGUGAGGGGAGGGUUAUGUCGCGGGUUGAAAUUUUGCAGGGUUGUUGAAAUCAAAUUUAGGGACUUUACUGACGGGACUCUGGGCUGGCUGCUCUGUUCACUCGUCAGCGCAAGUGGCGUGACCAUGUAAUUGGGGCACGGGGCCGGCGCGGCGCGCUGCGGGCUUGCAGAAUUUUGUUUGUUUGUUUGGCCGCGCGCUGGCGCAGCCACGGGCCGCAGUUACUGGGGCGCGCUGUCGUAACAAGCCGCGCGGUGUGGCCUGCACAUUGGGGUAGAGGGGGGGUAGUCUUCCCAGAUGUUCUAGUUAGUUGUUUAGUAAAUUUGACUUCAAUAACGAGCUUUUGUUAUGGUAGGCGCGGCAGGGCGCGCGAAUUUAAGCGCAAGUGAGUGGUGACUCGGGGCUCACUCAGGCGGAGGCUAUGCGUCUCACCUGUGGUCACGAGUUGUUAGUUCGUUCGUGAUGUAGGAAUUCAAGCUUUCGGGCGGAAGCUAUGGUCGACGCCAGAGGCCACGAGUCGUUUAAUUUAAGUUAGGUCAUAAUGUAGUCGUCAAGCUCACUCAGGCGGAGGCUAUGCGUCUCACCUGUGGUCACGAGUUGUUAGUUCGUUCGUGAUGUAGGAAUUCAAGCUUUCGGGCGGAAGCUAUGGUCGACGCCAGAGGCCACGAGUCGUUUAAUUUAAGUUAGGUCAUAAUGUAGUCGUCAAGCUUUCGGGCGGAGGCUAUGGCCCUCGUCAGGGGUCACGCGUCAUAGUUUUUAAAAUGUAAUGUUCGUUCGGGAUUUCAAGGGCAGGAGAGGCCCCUACGUUAUUUUUUUUAAAGUAAUCGAUCAAGAAAGGCUUUUCGGAAAAUGUGAGUAUGGACUUAUCUUUGUUUUAAUUUUAAGUAUUAAUUAUGAUUUGAGGUAUUCGGAAGGACUAGGGAAGUGUUUAGUGAAGUUCUCUCAUUCUCUCUCUUGUAAGGUCGUUCAAUCGUUAAGGAAGUAAAGAGAUUAUUGUUUUAAAUUGUAAUCCCGCUAUUCAAAUGUUCUUUAAAAUGAUGUUGAGUAUUUGACUUUAAGAAUAAAAUAAUUUUAAUUAAGUAUUAUGUUAUUUUGCAAAAUCUCCUUAGUUCAGCUCUCACCAGACAUCCUGUACGGGAUGACGAACCUAUGAUCCUAGGUACAGUAAAGUAUUUUAUGAAGUUAAGACUAGUUGAUGCCAAGCGAGUUGUUUCUAUGUAAAGAGCUACGAUUCUCUCCCCCCUCUGAAGGUGGCUCGUGACAGAAAUGGCGGUGGCACCGGCUAGGUGCACGUUACAACCAUUGCAUGGUGCAUUACCGAGUUAUACUUGAAAAUAAAAAGGGAACGGUAGUGCUCAACGUAUUACACGUUAAAACCACUAAGUUUCUAAGAACAAAUUAUUUAUAAGAGCAAAUAAUACACCAAACGAGAAUUUUUAAAGUUAACUACGAAGAAACACUGAAGGCUAAGAGUCCGGCAUCACUCAGGCGCCAUUUCCGAUAG